UCGCAAACCUUUCCUCCAAGAAAGAGGUUUUCCAAAUAUGGAAAAAUUUAUAUUUUUCUUUUAGGAAAAAAGUAAAAGUAUUUAUGUUUACUUUUAUUUUCUUUCCAAAAAAAAGUAAAACUUAAUUUUGGUAAGAAAAUCAGGGCAAAAACCCUAAGAAAUCUCCCCUUUUUGGCUUGAUUUUCUGCAAAAUAUUCUUGAUGCUCCUUCUUAUUAUGCAUAAUCUUCGUUCUUCACAAAUUCUUCAUAUAUCACUGUUGUUUGACAUGCUUUAAAAGUUGAAGUUUUUUGGGUUAAAAAUAUAUAAGCCCUUUCGGGUUAAAAACAUUAACGCCCUUUAUAGGGUUAAAAGUAAGCUUUCUUUUCAAAUAUGUAACAACAGGAUUAUUGAAAAUAUGAUUGACAAUCAUCUCCACAUGUAGCUUUUGGACAUAUAUCUUUAUUAUCAUCAAAUUGGUUGCAACUUUGAUCUCAACGUGUUCUUAAUUUGAACCAUCAAACCAUUGAACCAUGACUCUGAUAUCACUUGUUGGAUUCAAA
rnacentral:lncRNA from 1 species